rnacentral:rRNA from 1 species
UACGGAGGGUGCAAGCGUUAUCCGGAUUCACUGGGUUUAAAGGGUGCGUAGGCGGGUUGGUAAGUCAGUGGUGAAAUCUCCAGGCUUAACUUGGAAACUGCCAUUGAUACUAUCAAUCUUGAAUACCGUGGAGGUCAGCGGAAUAUGUCAUGUAGCGGUGAAAUGCUUAGAUAUGACAUAGAACACCAAUGGCGAAGGCAGCUGGCUACACGAAUAUUGACACUGAUGCACGAAAGCGUGGGGAUCAAACAGG